GCGGCCCGGAGGCGAUCUGUGCGCGAGGAGGCGCUGUGGAGACUGAGGCACAGCCCCUCCGAGGAAAGCCGAGAUUGUACGUUUCCUUGCCGGCUGAGCCGCGGCUCGUCCCCCGGAGCGACACAAAGAAGAAGUGGCCUUGCAUCCUGCUCCGCCUCCCGAGCCGGGUCCUUGGUCCCCGGAAGCCCUGGGCUGCCCCACUGGAGUUACCUUCUGUGCGUUCUCUCCUAAACCUACACGUUAUUCACGACUUUGUUCAUGACUAUGGAAAACAAAACAAAAACAAAAACCAAACCAAAGUUCCCUCGCCUGGCGAUGGUGCAAGCCUGUCUACCUGCUGGAGGAUGGUUGGAAUGUGCACACCUGGCUCGACCAAAAGAGGCACAGCUUAGGGGCGGCUUGGACCCAGCUCAAGUCUGGACUUGGCAGCUUUCCUGAGCCUGCCUAGGAAAGCAGGCUGGAGUGCAGGUGUCCCAGGGCUCUCUGGAGGAGCAGCAGCAACACCAUGCCUGGCUCUGGUGCCUUGGUCUCCUCGGAGAGGACGCUUGAAGGAAUGGCACUCAGCAGAGUACAGGCCCCGUAACAGUGCAGCGCAGCGACAUCCGCUGAGGACUGGACAGAAUGGUCCUGAUGCUUGGCAGUGAUCCGUACUUGGAUAACCCUCUGCAUGAAAGGGCAGUGAGCCAGGAACCUCAAGCCACCCGGGAGCAGGUGCCUACUUGGCGUUUUCUGAGACGAAAGGCAGCGGAGUGUGUAGCAAAGGUGGCGCUGGCUCUUGCUGCUUCUGAAGCUCCAUCUCGGCAGCCCUCUGCAGCGCCACCUCCACCAGCAACUGGAAGCUGCUGAAGUCAUCCUUGUCCUGCUCUGGGGGUGUGGGUGGUGGCGUAUUGAAGAGUCCACCCGUGGGGCUUCCAGCCUCUGCCCUAGUCAGCAGGGGUCACUGUAAAGCUCUGGCUGUUCUGGAACUCACUAUGUAGACCAAGGUGGCCUCAAAUGCUUCUUCUCCCUGAUUCCCAGGAUUAAAGCCACCAUGCUUGGGCUGGAGAGAUGGCUCACUGAUGUAAGAGCACUGAUUGCUCUUCCAGAGGUCCUGAGUUCAAAUCCCAGCAACCACGUGGUGGCUCACAACCAUCUAUAAAAAGGAUCUGAUGCCCUCUUCUGGUGUCUGAAGACAGCUACAGUGUACUCAUAUAAAU
ensembl:processed_transcript 5430405H02Rik RIKEN cDNA 5430405H02 gene